GGCUGUGGCCAUUGAUUGACAAAUUAAAUUCAUCCAUUGACUGGGACAAUUUAGGUGAACGUUUGUAUGUAACGACCACUGCUCACUAUGUACUUUUUAAAGACACUUAAACUAUGGGGUCACCAAAGGUUCUCAACACCUUAAUAAAGUUAUUCGAAAAAUUAAUCAGAAAUAACACGAUGUUUUGAUUUAUAUCAAUUAUAUAAAUCAAAACAUAAAGGUUAUUCC
rnacentral:lncRNA from 1 species